AAGCGCGUGCAGGCGGUUCGAUAAGUUGGAUGUGAAAGCUCCUGGCUCAACUGGGAGAGGUCGUUCAAUACUGUCGAACUCGAGGAUGGUAGAGGGAGGUGGAAUUCCCGGUGUAGUGGUGAAAUGCGUAGAUAUCGGGAGGAACACCAGUGGCGAAGGCGGCCUCCUGGGCCAUUCCUGACGCUCAGACGCGAAAGCUAGGGGAGCGAACGGGAUUAGAAACCCCGGUAGUCCUAGCCGUAAACGAUGUGGACUUGGCGUCGGUGGGGUAAAACCUGUCGGUGCCGUAGCUAACGCGUUACGUCCACCGCCUGGGGACUACGGCCGCAAGGUUAAAACUCAAAGGAAUUGACGGGUCCCCGCACAAGCAGCGGAGCGUGUGGUUUAAUUCGUUGCUACGCGAAGAACCUUACCCAGGCUUGACAUACAGGUGGAGGGAUCCGAAAGGUGACCGCCCUUCGGGGAGCCUGUACAGGUGCUGCAUGGCUGUCGUCAGCUCGUGUCGUGAGAUGUCCGGUUAAGUCCGGCAACGAGCGCAACCCUCGCUGUAUGUUACAGGUGUCAUACAGGACUGCCGAUAUAAAGUCGGAGGAAGGUGAGGAUGACGUCAAGCCAGCAUGGCCUUUAUGUCUGGGGCUACACACACGCUACAAUGGCCGGUACAAUGGGUUGCAAAGCUGCGAGGUAGAGCCAAUCCCUAAAGCCGGUCUAAGUUCAGAUUGUAGGCUGCAACCCGCCUACAUGAAGCCGGAGUUGCUAGUAACCGCGCGUCAGCAUUAGUGC
rnacentral:rRNA from 1 species